rnacentral:piRNA from 1 species
UAUGAGUGGUUGAACCAGAUUCAGAACUGC